AUUGAACGCUGGCGGCAUGCCUUACACAUGCAAGUCGAACGGUAACAGGUCUUCGGAUGCUGACGAGUGGCGAACGGGUGAGUAAUACAUCGGAACGUGCCCGAUCGUGGGGGAUAACGGAGCGAAAGCUUUGCUAAUACCGCAUACGAUCUACGGAUGAAAGCAGGGGACCGCAAGGCCUUGCGCGAACGGAGCGGCCGAUGGCAGAUUAGGUAGUUGGUGGGAUAAAAGCUUACCAAGCCGACGAUCUGUAGCUGGUCUGAGAGGAAGACCAGCCACACUGGGACUGAGACACGGCCCAGACUCCUACGGGAGGCAGCAGUGGGGAAUUUUGGACAAUGGGCGCAAGCCUGAUCCAGCAAUGCCGCGUGCAGGAUGAGGGCCUUCGGGUUGUAAACUGCUUUUGUACGGAACGAAAAGGCUCUGGUUAAUACCUGGGGCUCAUGACGGUACCGUAAGAAUAAGCACCGGCUAACUACGUGCCAGCCGCCGCGGUAACAC
rnacentral:rRNA from 1 species